AGAAAAAACUGGAAUCGUCUACAUAAUUAGAGGAAUGAAAUCAAUAUUGGAUAUUGGUGAAUACAGAGGCAAUUUUCCAAAAGGAGAAGGUGGAGAACCCACAGCUAAUUUGAUCCUGGGCAAGACUCAAGAAAGGAUUAUUUAAGGCUGCACCGGGUCUUAGUUGUUGGAAGCAGGAUCUUCGUUGCGGCUUGCAGCAUGUAUGCGAGAUCUAGUUCCCAACCAGGGAUCUAACCUGGGCCGCCUGCAUUGGGAGCACGGAGUCUUACCCACUGGACCACCAGGGAAGUCCCUGUAUUUUAAGUUUAAAGGCUAUGUGUGUUUUUAUACUGUAAGGCAUCUCACAACCAAUUUUCAAGGUCAGCUUUGACUAAUGAAGGUAUUUAUGACUGGAAAUAUUUAGGUUCCUGAAUAAAAGAACAGAAAUGUCACUGGCACAUACAAAAACAUAUAUGCUAUUACUGGAACUGGAAAAAAAAAGGCUGAAUAAACAACAAAUGAUGAUAGCUUCACCAUCAGAAGUAAACACUGAUGUAGGACGUUAUUAUAAUACUCUUAAAGUAACAUUAUUUUAACAGCACAACAUUUCAGAGAA